rnacentral:lncRNA from 1 species
UAGCCCACUAACUAAUAGCAAUAUUUGACUUUAAAUAAGUUGAUUUCUCCAAACCUCACUUCCUUCAGUCAAAUGAUUGGGAGAUUGAUGGUGUCAAAGAAAAACAGGAGCUGCCAAGAUAUAAGGAUCCUUGCUGACUACAUAUUCACUUAAAAAACGACACAGAAACAUUACUUAUGUUUUAUUAUAGCUUUAUUUUAUUUAUUUAUUUUAGUUUUAUUUGUUUUAUUAAAUCAGAAUUGGGAAUGUUUCAGGUCACUUAUUGACCCCUUGGGUGAGAUAAUCUCUCAGGUGCUGUAUAGCUCUGAGAACCAUUUUCUCUCCUAUAUCUCCCCUCAUCCCUGCCUCAGGUUGCAGCAUCUCUAUUUUGUCCAAUCCAAAUAAAAUCAGCUUCAGCCCAUUCACUUUGCCCCCUCUCUACACAUGCUGAAAAUCAGUGUUAGAGUAUGGAACAGAAUUAUUUCUAAACCCCCAAACUGGGCUCCCAGACCACUGGAUUGCACAUGUUCCUUCUUCUUCCUCCUCCUUCUCCUUCUCUUCCUCUUCUUUUUUUCCUCCUCUUUUUCCUCUUUUUCUUCCUCCUCCAUCAUCAUCAUCCCUGUCAUCCUGCCUAUACCUGGAGUUAUUCAUAAUAAGCUUUCAGUGAUGCUACAAGAGAUGAACUGAUACUCCCCAAUCACAACAAGCAUUCACUUUAUCCACUUUGGAAAUUAUCUGCUAGAUAUUAAAAAUAAAAGUAUAAUAUUAAUACUAGCAUAGUGAUAACAGAGGGUAUGGGUCUAUACUCAGUUAAACAUAAGAUGAAAACAAUGAGGGAUAACAACAAUUUAAAUUUAUUUAAUACUUAAAAGUUAUAAAUCAAUUUGCUUAUAAACAUAAUUUCUUUCAUUCUACUCAACAAUCCUGUGAGUUAGUAGGAAAAAAUACUAUUAUUAUCAUUUUCGGUGGGGAAAUUGGAUUUCAGAGAGGUUAAAUGACUAAUCCAACUUUACAGACCUAGUAAAAGGAAGAGCCAAGCUUUUAAUCUAGGUCUUCUUGCUCUGAGUCAACAAAUGUGGCAAAAGCAGCCAAAAUUUUGCUUUGAGGAUUACUAGUCUUACAAUUGCUCUUUUAUGAGCUCCUAAAGGAAAUAAAGUGGAAAAGUCAGUUACUGCCACAUGAUUAAGGAUUCUGAAUGCCAGGGAAUAGAGUUUGGACUUUAGAUGUUAGGUAAUAGGUAGGCACUGGGAGUUCCUAUAGAAGAGAAUGAUAUGCUCAAAGCCUGUUCUUAAGAGGUAGUGAUUAGCAACUUUGUACAGUAUGCAUUAGAAUAAAAGGAGCCAAGAGAAUUU